rnacentral:rRNA from 1 species
UGAGGAAUCUUGUGCAAUGGGCGAAAGCCUGACACAGCGACGCCGCGUGGAGGAUGAAGGUCUUUGGAUCGUAAACUUCUGUUGAAUGGGAAGAAAGACUCAAGGUUAAUAGCCUUGGGGGAUGACUGUACCAUUAAAGAAAGUCCCGGCUAACUUCGUGCCAGCAGCCGCGGUAAUACGAGGGGGACAAGCGUUAUUCGGAGUUACUGGGCGUAAAGCGUACGCAGGCGGCUUUGUAAGUCAGUUGUUAAAUUCCAUGGCCUAACCGUGGAUCAGCGAUUGAUACUGUAAAGCUAGAGUGUGGGAGAGAGAAGCGGAAUUCUCGGAGUAGCGGUAAAAUGCGUAGAUCU